UCUAAUCCGUGGCCCAGGCAGGGCAACCGUAAGGUUGGCCGGUCGCUAGAUCCGGUGUUCCAACCCUGUCUGGGUCACACCUUU
rfam:Dickeya dadantii 3937, complete genome.